AUUGAACGCUGGCGGCAGGCCUAACACAUGCAAGUCGAGCGAGCGGCGGACGGGUGAGUAAUGGAUGGGGAUCUGCCCGAUAUAGGGGGAUAACUACUCGAAAAGUUAGCUAAUACCGCAUAAUAUCGGAUCACCCAUAUUGGAGUAGCUAGUAGGUGGGGUAAAGGCUCACCGAGGCGACGCUCUCUAGCUGGCCUGAGAGGAUGAUCAGCCACACUGGGACUGGGACACGGCCCAGACUCCUACGGGAGGCAGCAGUGGUGAAUCUUGCACAAUGGGCGAAAGCCUGAUGCAGCCAUGCCGCGUGUAUGAAGAAGGCCUUAGGGUUGUAAAGUACUUUCAGCGGGGAAGCGGUACCCGAAGAAGAAGCACCGGCUAACUACGUGCCAGCAGCCGCGGUAAUAC
rnacentral:rRNA from 1 species